AGCGAACGCUGGCGGCAGGCCCAACACAUGCAAGUCGAACGAACUCUUCGGAGUUAGUGGCGGACGGGUGAGUAACACGUGGGAACGUGCCUUUUGGUUCGGAAUAACUCAGGGAAACUUGUGCUAAUACCGAAUGUGCCCUUCGGGGGAAAGAUUUAUCGCCAUUAGAGCGGCCCGCGUCUGAUUAGCUAGUUGGUGAGGUAACGGCUCACCAAGGCGACGAUCAGUAGCUGGUCUGAGAGGAUGACCAGCCACACUGGGACUGAGACACGGCCCAGACUCCUACGGGAGGCGGCAGUGGGGAAUCUUGCGCAAUGGGCGAAAGCCUGACGCAGCCAUGCCGCGUGAAUGAUGAAGGUCUUAGGAUUGUAAAAUUCUCUCACCGGGGACGAUAAUGACGGUACCCGGAGAAGAAGCCCCGGCUAACUUCGUG
rnacentral:rRNA from 1 species